UGCAGUCGACGGACCUUCGGGUUUAGUGGCGGACGGGUGAGUAACGCGUGAGAAUCUGCCUUCAGGACGGGGACAACAGUUGGAAACGGCUGCUAAAACCCGAUGUGCCUACGGGUGAAAUAUUCAUAGCCUGAAGAGGAGCUCGCGUCUGAUUAGCUAGUUGGUAGGGUAACGGCUUACCAAGGCGACGAUCAGUAACUGGUCUGAGAGGAUGACCAGUCACACUGGGACUGAGACACGGCCCAGACUCCUACGGGAGGCAGCAGUGGGGAAUUUUCCGCAAUGGGCGCAAGCCUGACGGAGCAAUACCGCGUGAGGGAGGAAGGCUCUUGGGUCGUAAACCUCUUUUAUCAGGGAAGAACACAAUGACGGUACCUGAUGAAUCAGCAUCGGCUAACUCUGUGCCAGCAGCCGCGGUAAUACAGAGGAUGCAAGCGUUAUCCGGAAUUAUUGGGCGUAAAGCGUCCGCAGGUGGUUUUGAAAGUUUGCUGUCAAAGCGCGAGGCUCAACUUCGUAUCGGCGGUGAAAACUUCAAGACUAGAGUUUGGUAGGGGUCACGGGAAUUCCCAGUGUAGCGGUGAAAUGCGUAGAUAUUGGGAAGAACACCAGCGGCGAAAGCGCGUGACUGGGCCUGAACUGACACUCAUGGACGAAAGCUAGGGGAGCGAAAGGGAUUAGAUACCCCUGUAGUCUAGCGUAAACGAUGACACUAGUGUUGCCCGUAUCGACCCGGGCAGUGCCGUAGCCACGCGUUAGUGUCCGCUGGGGAGUACGCACGCAAGUGUGAACUCAAAGGAUUGACGGGG
rnacentral:rRNA from 1 species